rnacentral:rRNA from 1 species
UACAGAGGGGGCUAGCGUUGUUCGGAAUUAUUGGGCGUAAAGGGCGCGUAGGCGGCCGGAUAAGUCUGACGUGAAAUCCCUCGGCCUAACCGGGGAACUGCGUUUGAUACUGUCCAGCUCGAGUCCGGGAGAGGGUAGUGGAAUUCCCAGUGUAGCGGUGAAAUGCGUAGAUAUUGGGAGGAACACCGGUGGCGAAGGCGGCUACCUGGACCGGUACUGACGCUGAGGCGCGAAAGCUAGGGUAGCAAACAGG